rnacentral:lncRNA from 1 species
UUUUUUUCUUUUUCUUUCUUUUCUUUUUCUUUUUGAUCUUUUUUCCUUUUCUAGGGCCGCUCCCGCAGUAUAUGGAGAUUGCCAGGCUAGGGGUCUAAUCGGAGCUGUAGCCACCGGCCUACACCAGAGUCACAGCAACUCGGGAUCCGAGCCGAGACUGCGACCUACACCACAGCUCACGGCAACGCCGGAUCCUUAACCCGCUGAGCAAGGAUAUAGUGUUGCUGAAAGAUUUGGUAUAGAUCUCAGCUGCAGCUUUGAUUCAAUCCCUGCAGCUCGGAUCUGGCAUUGCUGUGGCUGUGGCACAGGCCAGCAGCUGUAACUCCGAUUCGACCCCUAGCCUGGGAACUUCCAUAUGUUGCGGGUGUAGCCCUAAAAAGCAAGAGAAAGAAAGGAAAAUGAACAAGCAACUCGGCUCAUUUUAUAUUCAACAUAAUGAACUUAAUUUGCAGCGACGCUCCAUUGCAGAUAGUGUGAUUUAACCAAGAAUCAACAAUUGCUAUCCGAUAAUGUUCUAAUCCAAAGAGUUUGAGCACAACCACUAGAAAAGCUAAGAUACAGGAUAGAAAACCUGCCAGUUGCUAACCCACAAAGAGCCGUGCCACGUUUGCUUAAGAGCAUCUAUAGCUUCCUAGGCUGGAUGCUUAACUGCUUUUUGAUUGAUUAAAUAUCCUGCCUCCUGGCUGCUUCUUUCUGAAGGCUGCUCAGCAGGGGGUCCCACUGCCAAAACCUCUCCUGCCUGGAACUUUUAGGAGAAAAGGCACCUGUCAACGAAGGAAGGACAGGGGGCCAGCCAGAGCUGUUGGACCAUCCUAAGGGACAUCCAGAAAUGCCCCCUUCUAUGUGGGGGAAAAAAACCCCAAAAAACCUAAAGAAAAUUUCCUAUUCGCCCUGGCAUGGAUUAUUUAACAAAGUGAUAAAACAUGUAGCUCUGAUAAUGGGCUUGAAGCAGAUACACUUUGGAGGCAUCCAUUUAGGGUCCGUGGAUGGUUAACAGCAGAAUUAAAAUGAGAAACUGAAAUGGGUUUCUCUGACGUGAGUGCAGCCCUGUGCUCCCUGGAAGGCCAAUGGCCUGUGCAUUCCAGAAGAAGUGACGUGAAUCCGGAGUCCUGCGGCAGCCAGAGCACGGCCAGUGUUUAUCGGUAAAUCCAGUCCCAGUAAAACAGGGCCUUUGUCAAGGCCCACAGCUUCAUAAAAGGCAGGUGAUGGCCGGCCCCCUCCUUAGCUGGUAGGAAAGCUACAAAGCUCCUCUGGAUCCACACAGGGCUGGGCACUAAGUGAAAAGCGGGCGUUACCAGCAGACAGUGGGGAGGCAAGCCUGGAUCAGCCACUUAAUAGCCGAGAUGCCCCUUCGAGCACGCUUGUCAUCCUCUGAAUCUCUGUUUCUUCCUUUAUGGUAGGGGGACAACACUCUGCAGAGCUGUCAUUGUGGCCCCAACCCAGUGAGGCCAGAAUCUCUGGGAAGGGGACUCAGGAGCCCAGUAUUGACCAAAGAAACCUGAUGGUGGGUGAAUGGGACCCUGGAUUCGGUCAAUUGCAGAGACUGGAACCCAGCUCUCAAAAGGAAGAUGAGGGAGAGGGAGUGAAUCAGGAGUUGAGGAUUAGCAGAUACAAACCACUGGAACAGCCCGGAGACCCCUGGUGGCUCAGUGGGUUGAGGAGCCCGCAUUGUCACUGAUAUGGCUUGGGUUUGAUCCCUGGCCUGGGACCUUCUGCAAGCCAUGGGCAUGCCACCCCCCCACAAAAAGAUACACAAGAAGGUCCUACACAGGGAAUUAUAUUCCAUGUCCUAUAAUAAACCAUAAGGAAAAAUAUGAAAGUGAAUAUAUAUUAGUAAAUAUUAGUCUGUUAAGAAUACAUAUGUGUAAAGAAAAAGAACACAUAUAUGUAAAAAAUUGAAUCACUUGGCUGUGCAUCUUAACUAACACAACAUUGUAAAUCAACUAAUUGAAAAAAAAGAUAAAACACAGACACACAUACAGAAGGAAAAUAAGUCAGACUGCAGGUAAGUUUAUGGGAGGGACAUUUCUGUGCAGAGAGAAGGAGAACCCACGCAGGGGAGGUGACAGAAGGGACACAGAGGGGGACAACUUCUAAGGACGGGGAAGGGA